rnacentral:rRNA from 1 species
GACAGGUGGUGCGAUGGUUGUCGUCAGCUCGUGUCGUGGGAUGUUGGGUUAAGUCCCGCAACGAGCGCAACCCCUAUUGUUAGUUGCCAUCAUUCAGUUGGGCACUCUAGCGAGACCGCCGGUAAUAAACCGGAGGAAGGUGGGGAUGACGUCAAAUCAUCAUGCCCCUUAUGACCUGGGCUACACACGUGCUACAAUGGUUGGUACAACGAGUUGCGAGUCGGUGACGGCGAGUUAAUCUCUUAAAGCCAAUCUCAGUUCGGAUUGUAGGCUGCAACUCGCCUACAUGAAGUCGGAAUCGCUAGUAAUCGCGGAUCAGCACGCCGCGGUGAAUACGUUCCCGGGCCUU